AUUGUGCAGGGGCGUACUGCUGGCCUUGUCAGCGACAUGCACAGUAGCUUGGGAUCGGAGGAGCUACGAUGCGCCAUUGCGCAUGAUCCACCCCAUCGGUCGCCAAGCUUCCAAUGAUGCGACCAACCGACGGCGAUUGCGGUCGGUGGAAGC
rfam:Pseudomonas fuscovaginae strain IRRI 6609 Pf_IRRI_6609_contig_10.10, whole genome shotgun sequence.